AUGACGAAAUGUUUUGUGCCAAUAAAAAUUCUGCAACAAGCUAUAAAAGGAGCGUUGGCCAAGGAUUCAGAGGACCCGGACAAAGGUUUAAGAACGGCGAUGUCUAACGUUAAAAAUAAGGUUACGAAGCAAAA